rnacentral:rRNA from 1 species
UACGUAGGGUGCGAGCGUUGUCCGGAAUUAUUGGGCGUAAAGAGCUCGUAGGCGGUGUGUCACGUCGGCCGUGAAAACCUGCAGCUUAACUGUGGGCGUGCGGUCGAUACGGGCAUCACUGGAGUUCGGCAGGGGAGACUGGAAUUCCUGGUGUAGCGGUGAAAUGCGCAGAUAUCGGGAGGAACACCGGUGGCGAAGGUGGCAUCCUGGACCGGCAUUGACGCUGAGGCGCGAAAGCCAGGGGAGCAAACGGG